rnacentral:rRNA from 1 species
GAUGAACGCUGGCGGCGUGCCUAAUACAUGCAAGUCGAGCGAACGGACGAGAAGCUUGCUUCUCUGAUGUUAGCGGCGGACGGGUGAGUAACACGUGGAUAACCUACCUAUAAGACUGGGAUAACUUCGGGAAACCGGAGCUAAUACCGGAUAAUAUUUUGAACCGCAUGGUUCAAAAGUGAAAGACGGUCUUGCUGUCACUUAUAGAUGGAUCCGCGCUGCAUUAGCUAGUUGGUAAGGUAACGGCUUACCAAGGCAACGAUGCAUAGCCGACCUGAGAGCGUGAUCGGACACCCGGGAACUGAGACACGGUCCAGACUCCGACGGGAGGCAGCAGUAGGGAAUCUUACGCAAUGGGCGAAAGCCUGACGGAGCAACGCCGCGUGAGUGAUGAAGGUCUUCUGAUCGUAAAACUCUGUUAUUAGGGAAGAACAUAUGUGUAAGUAACUGUGCACAUCUUGACGGUACCUAAUCAGAAAGCCACGGCUAACUACGUG